CCAGACUCCUACGGGAGGCAGCAGUGGGGAAUAUUGGACAAUGGGGGGAACCCUGAUCCAGCGACGCCGCGUGAGUGAAGAAGUAUUUCGGUAUGUAAAGCUCUAUCAGCAGGGAAGAAAGGAAUGACGGUACCUGACUAAGAAGCCCCGGCUAACUACGUGCCAGCAGCCGCGGUAAUACGUAGGGGGCAAGCGUUAUCCGGAUUUACUGGGUGUAAAGGGAGCGCAGACGGCAGCGCAAGUCUGGAGUGAAAGCCCGGGGCCCAACCCCGGAACUGCUCUGGAAACUGUGCGGCUAGAGUACUGGAGGGGCAGGUGGAAUUCCUAGUGUAGCGGUGAAAUGCGUAGAUAUUAGGAGGAACACCAGUGGCGAAGGCGGCCUGCUAGACAGUAACUGACGUUGAGGCUCGAAAGCGUGGGGAGCAAACAGGAUUAGAUACCCCAGUA
rnacentral:rRNA from 1 species